GAGGACGUGGUGUAACUGGAUGAACAUCUCAGAUUACGAACCUGAAGAGUGGGGGUUCAAGUCCCUCCGUCCUCG
rnacentral:tRNA from 1 species